rnacentral:rRNA from 1 species
GACGAACGCUGGCGGCGUGCUUAACACAUGCGAGUCGAACGGAAAGGCCCUGCUUUUGUGGGGUGCUCGAGUGGCGAACGGGUGAGUAACACGUGAGUAACCUGCCCUUGACUUUGGGAUAACUUCAGGAAACUGGGGCUAAUACCGGAUAGGAGCUCCUGCUGCAUGGUGGGGGUUGGAAAGUUUCGGCGGUUGGGGAUGGACUCGCGGCUUAUCAGCUUGUUGGUGGGGUAGUGGCUUACCAAGGCUUUGACGGGUAGCCGGCCUGAGAGGGUGACCGGCCACAUUGGGACUGAGAUACGGCCCAGACUCCUACGGGAGGCAGCAGGGGGGAAUAUUGCACAAUGGGCGGAAGCCUGAUGCAGCAACGCCGCGUGCGGGAUGACGGCCUUCGGGUUGUAAACCGCUUUCGCCUGUGACGAAGCGUGAGUGACGGUAAUGGGUAAAGAAGCACCGGCUAACUACGUG